rnacentral:rRNA from 1 species
UACGGGGGGAGCAAGCGUUGUUCGGAUUUACUGGGCGUAAAGGGCGCGUAGGCGGCCUCUGCAAGUCGACUGUGAAAUCUCCGGGCUUAACCCGGAAAGGUCAGCCGAUACUGCAGGGCUAGAGUGCAGAAGGGGCAACUGGAAUUCUCGGUGUAGCGGUGAAAUGCGUAGAUAUCGAGAGGAACACCUGCGGCGAAGGCAGAUCUCUGGGCCGUAACUGACGCUGAGGAGCGAAAGCGUGGGGAGCGAACAGG